UGGAUGCUUCUGCAGCCAUGAUGCACAAAGGCCUAAGGACUGCUUGGAGCCAGUGGUAGAACUUUGUGUCAUCUACAGGGUGCUGUUUUCACAGGUAUGCAGAACACAAGAGUUGAGUCAGGAAGGCUUCCGCCCAAAUUUCCAAAGAAGGCCUGGCAGGCCAGGCUGGGUGUCCCUGAGAGGGCAGUGCAUGCAGCUGUGAGAGUUCAGCCAAAGGUGCACUGGAGAACCCAGGAUGAGGGUGCAGUCAGGAACAUGGAACACCUGCAGAAAGCCACGCACCCAAACAUGUAACCCUCAUCUAAUCAGGAAGGAAACGUCAGGAAAACUUAAAUUGAGGGACAUUCUGUAAGAUAUCAGCUCAGUCAUCCUCCAAACUGUCAGCUCAUACAAAACGAAAAAAGGAAAACUUGUGAAAACGUCAGUCAAGGGGCGUCUGAGGGAUGCAACAAUGAAGUGCAAUGUGGCAGCCCGGACGGGACUGCAGAUUGUUGUGGAGAGCAAGUGGUGAAGGUGGAUCUUAGGUAGUAAUUAUACAUCAAUAUCUGCUCACUCCUUGUACAGGAUGUACUAGACUAAGGGAUGACAUUAAUAACAGGAAAUGGAAGAACUGGGUGGCCAUCUUAGUUGUAUAUAAAUCUAAAACUCGUCAUGUAUAUAAGCUGUACUACGAGUUGUUGUUGUUUUGGUAUUUUUGGUUUUUCCUUCUUUUGGUACCGGGGAUUGAACUCAGGACCUUGUGCUGGUGAGGCAGGCAUGGUGCCACUGAGCUAAAUCCCCGGCCCUUCAAGCUCUGUUAUGUACAUGUAGCCACUCCUCAAAUGAUUGUGAACUGCACAAUAAAAAUAAACAACCAUGUAAACUGCAGGCCUGCUUUCUAACACUGAAUCUCCCACCCUCAGCCAUAAUAGAACCCUAAAUGUAUUCCUAAACCUCAACCAAAUCCCAACAAAAACCGCAACCCAAAGUGCACCUUGCCCCUUGGUCCUAAGCCACUUCCUCACCCUAACUGUAGCGAAACUUUGAGGAUGCGACCUCACUUCCUUGGUAUUAGAACCCAGCGAAACUGGGUGCCCUUCUGAAGCUGUCUCCCGUCCUGACCCCUUGGAGGGAGACAGAGAAGAGGGGAGGAUGAGCUGUUGCCAUUUUCCCGCUUCCCGAAGGUCUAGCCACAGAAAGGACCGCAAUCCGAGAUUUUUCCGACCUUGGCUCGGCUCUGGCCGCAGAUGUUUCCGGCUAAUGUUCAGGAGGAACCCACAUGUGAGAGAGGCAGCCCAGUGCCCAUCCUGGACGUCAGUGCCAGCCGUGAGCUCUCAUGGGCAGUGCUUCCCCUCGCGCUCAGGGUAUGUAAGGGGCCUGCUUGGACAGGGUCAGGCUGUGAGGUGUCAGAGCUCUGUCCCGCCGCCCCAACCCCCCGCAGCCCCCACUUCAUGGCUGGAGCGCCACCUCUCCCAUUUUGGAAACCUGGUCCGAAUGGCACCAUCCACCGGACAUUCCCCAAAUCAAGAUCAAAAGGGCCGGCUUGCAAGUGAACUCACCUGGAGCAGACAUGGAGCCUCCCUUGUGCCUUCCCCUUGCUCAGGUGGAAUAUCUAGAGCCCCACGAGGCCGAAACAGAUGGUGAGGGCCACAGCAGUCCGGAAGGCUUUCAUGGCUUUUGCUUGGGCAUUGGAAUCCCCCAAAUGGCCAGGAUGUCUUUGCUAUGCUCCGCAGGGAGCUGGCAAGUGACUGACACUGCUGAGCUUUCCUCCUGCUAGCUCCGGCUCCAUGUCCAGAACACCAUGGGCCUGCUCUGCAGCCAGAGCCAGCACCAGAG
rnacentral:lncRNA from 1 species